rnacentral:sRNA from 1 species
GCCGGGCGUGGUGGAGCAUACCUUUGAUCCCAGCACGCGGGAGACAGAGGCAGGCGGAUUUCUGAGUUCAAGGCCAGCCUGGUCUACAAAGUGAGUUCCAGGACAGCCAGGGCUAUACAGAGAAACCCUGUCUCGGGAAAAAAAAAAAAAAAAAAAGGUAUAGGUAUAGGUAUAGAUUUUUGAGACAGGGUUUCUCUGUGUAGUCUUGGCUGUCCUAGAACCAGGUCUGUAGACCAGCUAGUUUCAAACUACCUGCCUCU